rfam:Streptomyces sp. CB02056 scaffold11, whole genome shotgun sequence.
CUUCACCGAGCCCAGCCACAACGGCACUUCACGCCCCGCCCCGUAGGCGGACAGCAAGGCCUGCGCCUC